rnacentral:rRNA from 1 species
AGCCGCGGUAAUACGUAGGGCGCGAGCGUUGUCCGGAUUCAUUGGGCGUAAAGAGCUCGUAGGCGGCCUGCCGCGUCUGCCGUGAAAGCCCACGGCUCAACCGUGGGUCUGCGGCGGAUACGGGCGGGCUUGAGGCUGGUAGGGGCAAGCGGAAUUCCUGGUGUAGCGGUGAAAUGCGCAGAUAUCAGGAGGAACACCGGUGGCGAAGGCGGCUUGCUGGGCCAGUCCUGACGCUGAGGAGCGAAAGCGUGGGGAGCGAACAGGAUUAGAUACCCUGGUAGUCCACGCCGUAAACGUUGGGCGCUGGGUGUGGGGGCUUUCCACGGUUCCCGUGCCGUAGCUAACGCGUUAAGCGCCCCGCCUGGGGAGUACGGCCGCAAGGCUAAAACUCAAAGGAAUUGACGGGGGCCCGCACAAGCGGCGGAGCAUGUUGCUUAAUUCGAUGCAACGCGAAGAACCUUACCAAGGUUUGACAUGCCGGGAAAUCCCGCAGAGAUGCGGGGUGCCUUCGGGCGCCUGGCACAGGAGGUGCAUGGCC